UUUUAAAACCGGUUUAAAAGCAAAAAAGGCAAUCCAAACAAACAUUGUUUGAUCAAAAUUUUCCUUAUAAGUAUUUUUUCUCGACGUAGCGGCAUAACAUGUAAUUAACUAGAGCAACAUGUCGAGGCAAAGGCAUUUUUGUUGUGACGACGAGACCGGCGAGAUCAUCACGUACCUCGUUAACGACGAGACGGGCGAGCCGACGCCAUCUUCGUCGUCCGGCGUGAUCGGGCCGCGCGCGUCCGCGGCUCCAACCGAGACCAUACAGUUUCCUAAGGGAUACAUGAGCAAAACGAAAAAAUUCCAAGCGUUAAAAGAGAAUAUAAUCAGAGGUUCCAAUGUGUUUAGUCCGAGGUUGCUUCUGAUACCGAUGGCAGCAGUUUUUCCAGCAGUUCUGAUCAUGUUACUUAUGAUUGCUGAAGUGUUUAUACACGUCUGCUGCCACAAACAGAACAAGUCGCUGAAGGACCCGAGCCUGUACUACCGCAGUCCGCUCCACAUGGUCACGAGCAUCUUCUGCGGAGUGUGCCGGGAGGACGAGAUGUCAUCCAAGAUCGGGCAGCUGCAGGAUCAGAGGAGGUGCCGCUAUGGUUACUUUAAGGGAAUGACUAUUUAGUCAUUUUAAUUUACAAGUAUCAAUGUGACAUAGAUAUAAUUAGACAUUUUAGAGAUCUGCCCAACUACCUCUGUAAUAAAGUAAUUUGGGGGGAGAGGGACAGUGAGCAGAUUGAGAAAUAUAACGAUUUUUUGUAAUAAUAGGUAAAGACUUGUGGUUAUGCCAGAAGAGUUAUACCAAUGCUCAAAUAAUUUGUGUUCGAAUGGUGGUCACUUAUUGUUAUUGGAUACACUGCAUAAUAAUAUAGUAAGUACUCUUAAAAAGGGCACGGAGUUUUCGCAUAAAGGUACAAUUAAUUGGCUUAAAAAACACUCAAUGCCAGGUUGGAACCGGCAUGUCAGCGACGCGCACAGGGGGGCGAGAUUGCGUUACCAGAUGUGGUUAACGUGUGGAAAACCUUUGCAUGGCGUGUGUACAAUAGCAUGCGAGAAUCAAGGCGAUUGUUUAAGUUAAAAUUGAAAUAUUGUCUGAAUAAUCAGCAACAAAUAAAAAUGGAUAUGAUAGCUAGAAGUCACUCUAAAAAACGUUUUGGUGUAUUUUGGAAGCGAACAAAAAGCCUAAAUCCUAAGUCGAGCCUUCCUGCAAGCAUUUCUGGUCUGCAUGAUCCUGCGGAUAUAGCUAAUGCUUUUAAAGAAAGUUUAAGGGUGCAUCCGCCGCUCUCUGAGCGGUCGGCGGUGCGUGAUUCCCAGGCCGUCAACACCACGAGUCUCACUGUAAAAUUUUCAAUAAAGGAUGUUGCCACGGUGAUAAAUUAUUAUUUAUGGUUAGAGGGAAAUCUCCGGGGUUCGACGGCCUCAGCGUCGAACAUCUAAAGUAUGCAGGUCCUCACCUACCCAGAGUACUUGCUUUGUUUUUUAAUUUGUGCAUUGCCCACUCUUACCUUCCGAAUGAACUAAUGUACACGGUAGCACCCCUCGUAGUGAAGAAUAGGACUGGAGAUGCCUCUGACAUGUCCAAUUACAGGCCAAUUUCGCUAGCUACUAUUCUGUCCAAGGUUCUGGACAGUCUCUACGUCUGCUUGAUAAACAACUCGCUAAGCACCUAAACUUGCACAACUCACAAUUUGGUUUUAGGCCGGGGUUGUCCAGGAGAGUGCAAUAUUGUGUCUCAAGCAAGCUGUUCCUGUACUACACUGAUAAAAAUACACCUGUUUUUGCCUGUUUUUGGACUUGUCAAAGGCAUUUGAUCUAGUAGACUAUAAUGCGCACUGGAAUAAGUUGCAGCAUGAAACCACACUACCGCCAGAGGUUGUCUUGAUGCCUCGCUACUGGUACGGCAAUAAAAAAUUACUGCACUCCCCUCCUAAUGGAAAUUUUUUAGGAACUGCGGGUCAAAAAUUUUGUUUUGACCUCUAGUAUAUAAUACGUGUGCCAAAUGGCUAACCUGGCCGCGUAGCCAAGAUGCCAAUCGCUUACGCUCCGUAGCGAUCGAAACGCAACUGUCACUGUCGCGCUAAUAUGGAAGAGUGAUAGAGACAUUAGAGACAGCAUUCGAUCACCUUGGCCAAGCCAAGCCGCCUGUACAUCGAUUUGCGGUUUUUCUAAGAAAUUGGGCUCGUACGGCUGCCGCUAUCUCAUGCGCGAGUGGGCUUGGGCCUAUAGUCCCCACGCUAGCCCAAUGCGGAUUGGGGACUUCACAUACACCUUUGAAUUUCUUCGCAGAUGUAUGCAGGUUUCCUCAAAUAUUGUACGUUAGGAUUUUAUUUAUUUUCAAAAUUUUACUAGUUGUUUUACUCGAAAUAAAGAUUUUAACUUUA